rnacentral:antisense_RNA from 1 species
CUUCACCGACCCCAGCCACAACGGCCGGUCUCCGUCCCGGUCGCGACCGUACGUGGCCAGCAGCGCCUGCGCCUC